UCCGAUUCUGGCGGUUCCGGUUCCACGGUUCUAAUGGGUGGAACCGGCCCGGAACCGCGGAACCGGAACCACGGAACCGGAACCGUAUAACCGGAACCAUUUAGAAUCGCGGAACCGCCAGAACCGCGGUUCCGGUCACGGUUCCGGUUCGGAACCGUUAUUCGUACAGCCUUACUUGCUAAUUGGGGCGAGUUGCAACUAUAAAUACCCAGAGAAUACAAUUUUCUCCUCAGUACAAUUUCCCAAGAAUUUCAAAAAUUACAACCCCUGUUUGUUGUCUAUAUUUCUUUU
rnacentral:lncRNA from 1 species